CAGCAGCCGCGGUAAUACGGAGGGGGCUAGCGUUGUUCGGAAUUACUGGGCGUAAAGCGUGCGCAGGCGGUUAUGCGAGACAGAUGUGAAAUCCCCGGGCUCAACCUGGGAAUGGCAGUGGAUACUGGCAAGCUAGAGUGUGUCAGAGGAUGGUGGAAUUCCCGGUGUAGCGGUGAAAUGCGUAGAGAUCGGGAGGAACAUCAGUGGCGAAGGCGGCCAUCUGGGACAACACUGACGCUGAGGCACGAAAGCGUGGGGAGCAAACAGGAUUAGAUACCCGUGUAGUCCCUGUCUCUUAUAC
rnacentral:rRNA from 1 species